AGGUGACCUCAUCACUCUUCACAGCAUCCCUGGAGGAAGGUGGCACUGGCUCUGUCCUACAGGAGAAUGAAUUGGUGCUGACUACAAGGACUGUACAAGAAAGAGGUGAAGAAGAGACUGGAAAACCAACAUGAGAACUUCAUCUUACAAGAAGAACCCAAGUCACCAGGUGUUAGGAGCCCUGUGAACUUGACGGAAGGCCAGCCAGCCUCCUGCGUUUCUCACACUCCGCAUCCACGCAUCCAUGGAGCUGCUUGAA